GUUUCCGCCCGUGACCUGGAAGCAAGACAACAGAGCCACCGACGGAAAAAGCUCCACAGCCUGCGGCCGAAACAACUGAUAAGGAUGGAUUAACCUACAAGGGGCACAGAGACUAACUUUGCUCCUAAACUUCAGAAGGAGGGAUGGUUUGCAGCUGCUGAGAUGCGAACAUUAAGGAAAUGACUGGAUGCCCACUGCUUUGGAUGAGAAAAGGCCACCGGCAGUGGUGGGAUGAUGGAAGGUCAUGGGAUCAUCGGACAAGACGGAUGAAAAAAAAGAUAAGUGAACUGACACACCAGAUUUCUUAUUCACAAUGAAAAAUGAUGGGCAACUUAUUUUAAACCGGUUUAUUAAUACAGAUCUAUAAAUAAUAUUUUUGCUUUACGGAGAUCAACAGGUAGAUGUAAUAUCUUUCUGAACAACGCGGCAGUAGUUUGGGGAUUAUUAGUAUUAUUGCUUUAUUUAUUUAUUUUCUUAAAGAGAAAUAUCAGAAGCGAUGGCAACAACAUAGAAUAUAAAUUAUAGGAGUAACUUUACCGACAGAUUUUAAAUGGUCUGCUAAAUUUUCUUUAUAUCAUCAGGGGGUGGAGUAUUCUUAAAUAGAGGAAUAAAAAAGAGGAUUUAGAGAUGUUUUACUAUGUGAUAAAUUAGACCGGGUUUUUUGAUAAAUAGUUUGGUCAGUUAUUAAUUAGCAGAAUGUUAAAGGGACAACAAGUUGAAACUUUAACUUUUGGGAAUGGUAAAGUUGCAUCAACAGAAUGCAAUUUAGGGGAAAUUAUAACAUUUCAGGAGCAAAUGUUUAAAGCAAAUGAUGGUUUCUUUCAAUAUAAGCAAUAACGAUGAAGACUUAUAGUGUUAAUGAGCUUAUGGCGAUUCAAUAUCAGGCCCAGGGACUAAAACUUCACCAUUUAUUUUUUUUUAUUUUUAUUUUAUUUUAUUUGUUUUGAUUAGUUUUAUUUGGGGUUUUUUGUUUGGUUUUUUACUGCGAGCAGAGUUAUAAAUAGCAUUUGAGGGGCUAUAUACAAUUUGGGGGAUGGGUAACCAUACUUUUAAUGCAUGAAGCAAUAAGAACACCUGACUUUACUUCACUAGAGCUGCAAUUAAUACUUUAGAGGGGAUGCACACUUUAGUGUUUAGUUUAUUUGAGAUAACACAUAUGAGAAGAGAUUAUGUUUCCUGCACAUUUUUUGGAUCUGGUCAGGGGUCCAGAUAUGACAACUAUUGACUGGUUCUGGGGAUGUUGGAACAGAUUUUCUUUUUUCUUGUUUUUAUUUUGUUCUUUGUUCUUUGUUUUUGUUUUGUUUUUUUUUCUCAUCGGAGCACUGCUUUUUGGAGAAUAUUUUAAAUGGACUAUAGCUGGACACUUUGCAUAGAGGGGGUGCAGUCGAAUUCAACACCUUCAGGAACUGUGUACUGCUGAGUUUUGGGAACGCAGCAGCGAGUCAGAGUACAAUCCUGUGCUCUGAGCAGAUGAACAUUUCAAUAUGACAUUUCCUCUUGAAGGGAGGAACACCUUUGACGCACUGUUUCCUUCUACCUCUAUGUGAUACUGCUGAUGACACAGGUAAAGACUUAUCCUUCAGGGGGUGUGGGGACACAUGGCCCCAAGACUCUUAUGGUUCAAAGCUGCUGUGGUAGCAGAGGGAAACCUGAUGGACUUGUCCGAACAUCGAACUUUUUUUGCAUGUUGGAGAGGAUCACUGCUCCAAGAAACACUUUUUCUUCCAAACCAGUAGCGGGAUGGCUCCUGACCAGUUUCCCACAUAUAGAUCCACUCACAUAGACACACACACAUACUGUCACGUAACAACACGCCCACACACGGUUAACGACUGGAAGAACACACAAGGGUCCACAUGGGAAUGAGGUUUUCUCUCAUGCACUAACAUUCACGGAUACAAGGUCUGGUGGGGGAGUUUUUAAUAGGGGGAAUCUGCGCCAAGCUGGGUUUUUUCCUUAGAGAUUAAAGAACUUCUAAUAAUUUUCUGGGGAGGGUGUAGCAGUAAACUAAAAUGCAGUUACAAGUUUAGACGAGACUAAAACUUAAUAUGCUAUGAUGUAGAAAUGGUUUUAAAAUUCAUUUAUUUAAUCCAUGAAUUGAGUGUUACAAUG